rnacentral:rRNA from 1 species
GCCCAGACUCCUACGGGAGGCAGCAGUGGGGAAUAUUGCACAAUGGGGGAAACCCUGAUGCAGCGACGCCGCGUGAGCGAUGAAGUAUUUCGGUAUGUAAAGCUCUAUCAGCAGGGAAGAAGAUGACGGUACCUGACUGAGAAGCCCCGGCUAACUACGUGCCAGCAGCCGCGGUAAUACGUAGGGGGCAAGCGUUAUCCGGAUUUACUGGGUGUAAAGGGAGCGUAGACGGCGAUGCAAGCCAGAUGUGAAAGCCCGGGGCUCAACCCCGGGACUGCAUUUGGAACUGUGUGGCUGGAGUGUCGGAGAGGCAGGCGGAAUUCCUAGUGUAGCGGUGAAAUGCGUAGAUAUUAGGAGGAACACCAGUGGCGAAGGCGGCCUGCUGGACGAUGACUGACGUUGAGGCUCGAAAGCGUGGGGAGCAAACAGGAUUAGAUACCCUCGUA